rnacentral:rRNA from 1 species
UAGGAUUUCUUUAGUAGCGGCGAGCGAAUAGGAAAAAGCCCAGCACCGAAUCCCGUGUUCAUUACUGGACGCUGGGAAAUGUGGUGUUAGGGAGGAUUCGUUAUCUUAAAAUUGUGCGGUGUUGUCCAAGUCCAUCUUGAACGGGGCCAUAAUCCAUAGAGGGUGCCAGGCCCGUAGUGACCGCUGCCGAUUUUAAGAGAAUCUCUCCUUAGAGUCGGGUUGCUUGAGAGUGCAGCCCUAAGUGGGUGGUAAACUCCAUCUAAGGCUAAAUAUAACCACGAGACCGAUAGCGAACAAGUACCGUGAGGGAAAGUUGAAAAGAACUUUGAAGAGAGAGUUCAAUAGUACGUGAAACCGUUUAGGGGUAAACCUGAGAAACCCGAAAGGUCGAAAGAGGAGAUUCAGCGUGUCUCGAUAAUGAUGAUUAACGAUUGUGCGACAAAUUACUUUCGAGUUUUUUGCACCUUUCGUUAUUUUAAAUCAAUGUCGAAUGCGUGCACUUCUCCUCCUGUAGGACGUUGCGAUUCGUUGGGUGUCUAUCUAAGGCUCAUGGUGGAGUUUGUUUAUCAUACGGUUUACAAACCCAUGAUGUUUCCCGAUAGACUCGCUCGACGAUAUAUAUAUGGCACGAGGCCGCUACAUAGUUAGCGUUUGACGCGUGGCAAGUACGUUUGUUAUAAUAGAUUACGGACCUGGUGCCGGUUCUGUUUUCAGACUGCUGUUCGCUACGUAGUUCUCAAACAGACCUCGUUGAAACGCCGAUCAGCAACGCUAUAGGUUUGGGUACUUUCAGGACCCGUCUUGAAACACGGACCAAGGAGUCUAGCAUGUGCGCAAGUCAUUGGGACAUUACUAAACCUAAAGGCGUAAUGAAAGUGAAAGUUCGUCUUGCACGAGCUAAGGGAAGACAAGUAAUUGUUUCGGCAAUUGUUUUGCAUUCCCAGGGCGUCUCAUUCUCAUUGCGAGAAGAG